rnacentral:sRNA from 1 species
ACAAAGGAACUGAAUGAGCUCAAAGCUGAAGAAAUGUAUAGACUCCAACAAUUGAGUGUUUCUGCCACCCAGUUAGCAGACAAGGUAGAGGAGGCAGUUCUGGAUCGUUUGAAGCCUCUCUUGGUCAAGGCCCAGAGAAUCAAUUCUACUACAGAAGCAAAUAUUCAUUUGAAAGAUGCCUCGUCAGUAAACACAGUGACAGCCCAGCCUGCACAGGAGGUUGCAGCUGUUGAUUUUGAAUCCAACAACAUUCGUCAGCUUGAUGAUUUUUUGGAAGAUUCUGCCCAUGAGCUCUGGGCUGUGACUCAUGCUAAGAUCUUGGGGUCUGAAACCUUAGCCACCGUUGACGACAGCAAGGAUAGCCCAGAUCUGGAGAUCAUGAUGCGCCGGAUGGAAGAGAUGGAAAAAUACCAGGAGUCCAUUCGUCAAAGAUAUAAUAAAAUCGCAUAUGCUGAUCCUCGACUUUGGAUGCAGGAAGAAAACAAUGAAUCACGAAGACAGUGGAUCGCAAGGAUCCAGCCGUGAACAUCAUGUUAGAAAGGCCCUGUAAUGGCAAUUCCCUGGAUGAAAGUGUGGGAACAGAGGAAGGAUCAGAGAAAAGAGAGGCCCCUCUUCUCUCCCUAGCAGAAGAUUCUCAACAGAAAGAAGGCCAAGCUCCCCUCUUUGUCCCACCGGGUAUGCGGCACAGCAUCGGUGACUACUGCAGUCGUUUUGAGCAGUACCUUCGGAUCAUAUCUCAUGAGGCUGUAGGCU